UCCUUGGUACUGCUGAUGUCUGUGGCA
rnacentral:sRNA from 1 species